rfam:Canis lupus familiaris chromosome 20, whole genome shotgun sequence.
AUCUUUGCACAGUGCCAGUAUCAUAGCCAAUGAGGUUUAUCUGAGGCACAAUUAUUGCUAAUUGAAAAUACAUAGUAAUAUCAUCUUUUAAAUUCAUUGCUUAGAAAACAAGAGGAAGAAACAUUUACAACUAUAUAUG